UACGGAGGGGGCUAGCGUUGUUCGGAAUUACUGGGCGUAAAGCGCACGUAGGCGGCUUUGCAAGUCAGAGGUGAAAGCCCGGGGCUCAACCCCGGAAUAGCCUUUGAGACUGCAUCGCUUGAACAUCGGAGAGGUAAGUGGAAUUCCGAGUGUAGAGGUGAAAUUCGUAGAUAUUCGGAAGAACACCAGUGGCGAAGGCGGCUCACUGGCCCGGUACUGACGCUGAGGUGCGAAAGCGUGGGGAGCAAACAGG
rnacentral:rRNA from 1 species